AAGUCGUAACAAGGUUUCCGUAGGUGAACCUGCGGAAGGAUCAUUACAGAGGUUUUUUUAACCUAUUUUUGUGAAUUUUAUAUCUGGUGUGUAUGUUUGUGAGUGAGAACGAGUGCGGAGCACGAGUUGAUAUCAUAUAUGUGAAAGCAAUGAGUCGAACCACCCGUUCAAAACACUAAGCAUAUGCACCAAACUUUACACAACAUAAUGUCUGAAGAAAAAGAAAUGAAAAAA
rnacentral:misc_RNA from 1 species